CUCUGUCUCUCUCUGUGUCUCAAGCUCAACAGCCGCUCUCAGCCGAUAGGGUGUUCCUAGGCCGAAACCCGUCGCCCACCACUGUCAACAGCCACUCUCAAACCUGUCGGCCACCACUAUAACCAAUUUUGGAGGGAUUGUUGCUGAAGUGAAACUGUUUGGAGAUUUCUGUUUUAAGCUUGGAGCAUUUGGUUUUGCAGAGAUGGAGUCUAGCCACUCUAACACACCUAAUGCCUCUAAUCCCCAAACACAAACCGAUACACCCGAAACACAAUCUCCAACUCAAACACAAAAUCCCACAAGUGAGGGCCUUAUGGUGGGAGAUAGGAGGAAAGCCCCAAAGUCGAUUGUGUGGUUACAUUGCACAAAACAAAUAAAGAAGGAUGGUAAUGGGGUAGAGAAGGUUAUAGGGGUUUGCAAUUAUUGCAAAUUGGAGAUGCCGGCGGACCCUAGAAA